UAAAUACUCCCUCCGUUUGGAAUUACUUGUCGCGAAAAUGGAUGUAUCUAGAUGUAUUUUAGUUCUAGAUACAUCCAUUUCCGAGACAAGUAAUUCCGAACGGAAGGAGUACAUU
rnacentral:pre_miRNA from 1 species